rnacentral:rRNA from 1 species
GAUGAACGCUAGCGGCAGGCUUAACACAUGCAAGUCGAGGGGCAGCAUGAGGCGGAGAUUCGUCGAAGUCUUGAUGGCGACCGGCGCAAGGGUGCGUAACGCGUGAGCAACUUGCCCGUUUCUGGGGAAUAACCGGUGGAAACGCCGACUAAUACCCCAUAGUAUAAUGAAGAGGCAUCUUUUUGUUAUUAAAGAAUUUCGGAAACGGAUAGGCUCGCGUGACAUUAGCUAGAUGGCGGGGUAACGGCCCACCAUGGCGACGAUGUCUAGGGGUUCUGAGAGGAAGGUCCCCCACAUUGGAACUGAGACACGGUCCAAACUCCUACGGGAGGCAGCAGUGAGGAAUAUUGGUCAAUGGACGCAAGUCUGAACCAGCCAUGUCGCGUGAAGGAUGACUGUCCUAUGGAUUGUAAACUUCUUUUAUAUGGGGAUAAAGUGUGAGACUUGUCUCAUUUUGCAUGUACCAUAUGAAUAAGCAUCGGCUAACUCCGUGCCAGCAGCCGCGGUAAUAC